rnacentral:lncRNA from 1 species
UUUGAUCAACGAGCUAGUCCAUUAGAGGGUCACUAGGGAGAGUGUGUUGUCUAUGUAUCCACACAUGUAUUUGAGUUUCCAAUCAGUACAAUUCUAGCCUGGAUAAUAAACGAUUAUCACGAACAAGGAAACAUAAUAAUAACCACUUUAUUAUUACCUCUAGGGCAUAUUUCCAACAUCUAAUGGAGACUGCUUUCCACCCUUUUCAGCACCAUCUGAGGUGGUCGAUCUGUAAGAAAAUCAACAUCAGAACAUGAAAUGCUAUCAAUGGCAAGAUCAACAUAUGUCUUAAUUUGCUCACAAUCUAAUGAAAUAAGAAAAGAAAAUCUCAGGUAACCACGUGAUACACAAAGCAAAGGACAUUUAAAUCCUAAAACGUGAAGAUGUUUGAUAUACAUGGUGUUCUGCCAUGAUGACCAAGAAGAAAAGUAGUAUAGAAGUAGAAUUUAUAUAAACAAAUAAGAUGCACUAUAUUAGAAGAAAUGAUGAAAUCAAUUUCAGAACUUCCCUCUUCCCUACCCUACCCCUGAUAUACAUUCAAUUUUGUCGGACGCAAAAUUCCAAUAGAACAAUAGGACUGAUGGAAUCAAUUUCAGAACCACCAUAAAGAACUAAACUAACUUCCAAACAAACAUUUCAAGCUUGGAAGUGCCAAACAUGCACAUAUUCAUAUAGUGGGUAGGAAUGUAACAACAAUUGUCUGCUUGCAUAGGAAAUAAUGGUCAUAAUGGUGCCAAUUGAACAUAGAUGAGUAACGAAAUUAAAAACCAGAGAGUUGUGGAAGCAGUGACCUCAGGUGGUGUUUCCCUUGUGCUCCUGGCUCCGGCACCUAACGACCACGGGUCUAUAUUCCCUUCAAGUACAGGUAAAAUCAGAUCAAUCUCCAUCAGCAGACGAACCCAAGCCAACCAAGAACAUGCAUGGUGGUGGCGAUAAAUGUUCUUCACCAUAUUCGACGCUAGGAGUGCAGUGGAAUACUCACCAAGGAAAUCACUGCUGGAGAGGCCCUUGGCAUAGACCAGAUGCACCUCUAGAAGACCACACCCCAUUGUUUUCUUCUCCCCGUGCUGCUGCUCCUCUCUUCCUCCCCUGGUUCUAAGUCGAGGCCUUGCCCCUCUGCUCGAUCUGCUUCUGUCGAGGCCGGACCGAGGUCGCGCUAUGGUUGCUACUCCUCUCUUGCUGACUCCUAUUGAGUCCGGAUUGAGGCCGCGCUCCUCACUCUAGCUCCUCAUGCUGAGGCCGGACCAUGGCCGUGCUGCGGUUAUUACACCUCUCCUCCUCCUAAGCCCAGAUCGAGGUUGUGCUCCUUGGCUCGAGCCGCCGCCUCGCUCUCCUUCUCUGUCACACCCCACUUAUCCCCUUCACAUCCCUCCUCCUUCCUAAGCUCGAAAAGGAGAGAGGGAAGCGGCUUGGGGGGAGGGCAGCAGGCGUAGGACCCAAGGAGAAGUAGAAGAGGCAGGAUUGGGAGAUUGGGGGAGAGGAGGCAGUGGAUUGAGGAAAGAGUUGUUGCACGCUCGCUGCACUUGUGUUGAUACCCGCUU